rnacentral:rRNA from 1 species
GGACUACUGGGGUAUCUAAUCCCGUUUGCUCCCCUGGCCUUCGUGCCUCAGUGUCAGGAACUGUCCAGAGACCCGCCUUCGCCACUGGUCUUCCUUACGAUCUCUACGCAUUUCACUGCUACACCGUAAAUUCCAGUCUCCUCUCCAGUCCUCAAGCACCGCAGUAUCGAAUGCAGUUUCGGAGUUAAGCCCCGAGAUUUCACACCCGACUUACGACGCCACCUACGCACCCUUUACGCCCAAUGAAUCCGAACAACGCUUGAGACCUCUGUAUUACCGCGGCUGCUGGCAC